UGCAACUUGUUCGUUGGUAGCUUUUUGCCUAGAUUAGAAUAUAGGAUCAUUUUUUCCGCGAAGUGGACCAGAAACCGAUCUAUUC